GGCAGACGGGUGAGUAAUGUAUAGUUAAUCUGCCCUUUAGAGGGGGAUAACAGUUGGAAACGACUGCUAAUACCCCAUACUCCUUUUAUCUUAAUGGUAAUUGGGAAACGUUUUUUCGCUAAAGGAUGAGACUAUAUGGUAUCAGGUAGUUGGUGGGGUAAGAGCCUACCAAGCCAAUGACGCCUAGCUGGUCUGAGAGGAUGAUCAGCCACACUGGAACUGAGACACGGUCCAG
rnacentral:rRNA from 1 species